rnacentral:rRNA from 1 species
AUUGAACGCUGGCGGCAGGCCUAACACAUGCAAGUCGAACGAGUGGCGGACGGGUGAGUAAUGUAUGUGGAACUGCCCGAUGUAGGGGGAUAACUACUGGAAACGGUAGCUAAUACCGCAUACCAUCGGAUGUUCCCAUAUGGGAUUAGCUAGUAGGUGGGGUAAAGGCUCCCCAAGGCGACGAUCCCUAGCUGGUCUGAGAGGAUGACCCGCGACACUUGCACUGAGACACGGGCCAGACUCCUACGGGAGGCAGCAGUGGGGAAUAUUGAACAAUGGGCGCAAGCCUGAUGCAGCCAUGCCGCGUGUAUGAAGAAGGCCUUCGGGUUGUAAAGUACUUUCAGCGGGGAGGCGUUACCCGCAGAAGAAGCACCGGCUAACUCCGUGCCAGCAGCCGCGGUAAUUC